rnacentral:tRNA from 1 species
CGGCUUGUGGCGGAAUUGGCAGACGCGCUGGAUUUAGGUUCCAGUAUCGCAAGGUGUGAGAGUUCGACCCUCUCCGAGCCGACCA